rnacentral:rRNA from 1 species
GUCCUAGGAAGUCCUUGUGUUGCACCCC